rnacentral:rRNA from 1 species
AACAAACGCUGGCGGCGUGCCUAAUACAUGCAAGUCGAACGGGUAGCAAUACCAGUGGCGCACGGGUGAGGAAUAUAUGGGUAAUCUGCCCUCGAGUUGGGGAUAACCAGUCGAAAGACUGGCUAAUACCGAAUAAGACCACAGGAUCUGCGGAUCUAGGGGUUAAAGGUUUUUCGCUUGAGGAUGAGCCCAUACGGGAUUAGCUAGUUGGUGAGGUAAUGGCUCACCAAGGCUACGAUCCCUAACUGGUCUUAGAGGUUGAUCAGUCACACUGGAACUGAGACACGGUCCAGACUCCUACGGGAGGCAGCAGUAGGGAAUAUUGCACAAUGGGGGGAAACCCUGAUGCAGCGACGCCGCGUGAGUGAUGAAGGCCUUCGGGUCGUAAAGCUCUGUCGUAUGGGACUAACACAAUGAAGGUACCAUGCAAGAAAGGAUCGGCUAACUUCGUGCCAGCAGCCGCGGUAAU